UGCAGCAAUUGGGUUACAUAAGUGUGUACACUCGUAAAAGUUUACUUUAGUAAAAUGAAUGUUAAUAAAAAUUCAGAAUUCACUCUCUUUGGUUGGAGUUCAUCAGAAUUCUGCAUUCUGACUGCAGGCAAGUAAAAGUGAUAGUUUCAAUUUAUCCAGUCUCAUUUUCAUAGAUAACAAAACUCUGGCAUUUUACCUGGUGGUGUAAAUACUUUUUGCGUCUACUGGAUAACAGUUUUGGAAUGUUGUAAAGCAAAACAACCUGAAUUUUAGCCAUGAAUAUUGAAAACAUCCUACUAGAGUCUGGUACUAUCAGAAAAAGCACAUGCUGAGAUCACAUCUGGUGCACUACAACUCAACAGAGCCAAACUGGAGUAAAUAAACACUCUCAGAAUCUGCAACACAAUCACAGAGUGCUGCAUGGAUGCAAUACUUGGUAGGCUGGUACAUUUGAGAAGGAAGGAAAAUGCUGAGUCACGGGAAAUGAUAAUGCAAUAGCAUUACUCCACAUGACUGUAUCAUCAAUUAUUGUCCUUCUAUGGUCCAGCCCCGCACACCUAAUAAAACAAAUUACAUCACUAAAACAAGUAAUUAAGACAUCAAUUUUAAAAUAAAAUGUACUGUAUCUAUCUUAUACUCUGGUAGACUUUAGGUACUGCAUUUCUGGGGUCCCCACAUGUCGUAAUUAGAUGAAAGAGGUGAUUAAAAAGUGUUUAUGACUAUUAAAACUGAUAACACACCCAGAUUCCUAAGAUAAUUCUGCUGUAGACUCUGACCUGUGACUACAACACAGUUAUGCAGCAAUAGAGAGAUGACAUACAUCGUGUGCAUGUUCUCGGCAGCUGAGUUGAGCUGAACGUUCUGUGUUGGUCACUUGGGUUAAAACAACCGAUCGACCAUGUUUGGGAUGAACUUGCUUGCGUUUUGUGUGCUCCUGUGUGCUACCAGCUGCUCAGCUGAAAACACUGUAAGAUCAACAAAAAGGACUCUUCAGCCUUGGUUGAUUGGUGUGUCAGCUGCCGUUGGCUUCCUGGUCAUUGUCUUUAUUCUCCUGAUCGGAAAAAAACUACUAAGUAUAAAAAGGGAAACAGAGGAGAAACGGGGCUAUGAAUUGACCCAAAAGCUGGACCUGGACGUCUAUGAAACCAAUCUGUAGAAACUCAUCUGCUUUUCAGAAAACUGCUGUACCCACGCAGUGACCAGCCCAAUAGUGAUGCACAUUUUCAACAGAGAAAAUGGCUGAAUUUAAUUUACGCUAUCAUCCUAUGUAAUGAGGACUCCUUUUCUAAGUCAUCUUUUUUUACAAGUUAUAAAAUCUGACUAAAACAGAAAGACUUUAUAGACAGUGUAAAUAGUACAGUAACAUCACAGAUGUUCCUCUUCAGGUUCACAAUUAUGUGAAGUCACCAAGAAUGUAAACAAAUAUAUUAAAAAUAUAAGUACAAUGUAGAGUUGGGUUGACAUAAUAUUUUUAACUAACCUUUGAUUGCUUGCACUGCUAUUUUCUUUGAGACAAAAGUGUUGCCAUUUGGAAAUAUUUUCAUUUUGAAAAUGACGAGUUGAAAAAGUUGAAUUCUUAGAGGUAGGGUCAAAAUGAUCUAUACUCCUUGUAGGUUUAGGUAGGCCUCUAAAGACUGAAUGUAAUACUAAUGUUUUGAUUGAUCUAGCCAGAGUCCCCACUUAACUAUGAUAAUGAAGUUUUGGAAGGAGCUAAAUUUAAUGGCAAGGAGACGUUCUAACCUCAAUGACUUGGACCUUAUUAAAAAGACGAAUGGUUAAAAAUGCAAAAAGGCUGCCUCUAAGUACAAAUGUUAGUUUGUUGCAACGCAAAGCAAGACUGGAGAAGGAUAUAAAUAAUUUUCAACCUGUCAUUUUUGUUAAAAUGUAAAUAAAAACAGACUUUCCAAAAAUAA